rnacentral:rRNA from 1 species
UACAAGACGAUCCAGCUGUUGGUCGAUUCAUUGGGCGUAAAGGGUGCGUAGGCGGCGCGGUAAGUCGGGUGUGGAAUCUCGGGGCUUAACCCCGAAACUGCAUUCGAUACUGCCGUGCUUGAGGACUGGAGAGGAGACUGGAAUUUACGGUGUAGCGGUGAAAUGCGUAGAUAUCGAGAGGAACACCUGCGGCGAAGGCGGGUUGCUGGGCUGACACUGACGCUGAUUGUGCGAAAGCUAGGGGAGCGAACGGG